UACGGGGGGGGCAAGCGUUGUUCGGAAUUACUGGGCGUAAAGGGCUCGUAGGCGGCCAACUAAGUCAGACGUGAAAUCCCUCGGCUUAACCGGGGAACUGCGUCUGAUACUGGAUGGCAUGAAUCCGGGAGAGGGAUGCGGAAUUCCAGGUGUAGCGGUGAAAUGCGUAGAUAUUGGGAGGAACACCGGUGGCGAAGGCGGUUCUCUGGGCCUUACCUGACGCUGAGGAGCGAAAGCGUGGGGAGCGAACAGG
rnacentral:rRNA from 1 species